rnacentral:rRNA from 1 species
GACGAACGCUGGCGGCGUGCUUAACACAUGCAAGUCGAGCGGUAAGGCCCUUUCGGGGGUACGACGAGCGGCGAACGGGUGAGUAACACGUGGGUGACCUGCCCUCAGCUCUGGGAUAAGCCUGGGAAACCGGGUCUAAUACCGGAUAUGACUCCAUGACGCAUGUUGUGGGGUGGAAAGCCUUGUGCGGCUGAGGAUGGGCCCGCGGCCUAUCAGCUUGUUGGUGGGGUGAUGGCCUACCAAGGCGACGACGGGUAGCCGGCCUGAGAGGGCGACCGGCCACACUGGGACUGAGACACGGCCCAGACUCCUACGGGAGGCAGCAGUGGGGAAUCUUGCGCAAUGGGCG